UCGCGCCAGCGGCAGUGCCGGGUAGCUACGUUGGGAAGGGAUAACCGCUGAACGCAUCUAAGUGGGAAGCCCCUCCAGAGAUGAAUCUUCCUGGGAGCUUGACUCCCCUGAAGGGCCGUGGGAGACCACCACGUUGAUAGGCGGCAGGUGCAGGGCGUGUGAGCGCUAAAGCCGAGCCGUACUAAGGGCCCGUGAAGCUUGACCGG
rnacentral:rRNA from 1 species